rnacentral:rRNA from 1 species
AUGACAUGCAAGAUUUAUCGCUUAAGAGUUGUAAGAAAAAUAGAAUGUUUUCGGUUCAGUCAGCCUAUUUUGUGGAAUGAGAUCAUCAACAUGGAAGCAAAUUCUGACAUAUUAAUGGUACGAGACAAACCACUGUUAAUCCUAUUUGGUGUAAUAUGUGGAAGCUAUCGUGUCUGGCAAAACAAUUUUUUUAUUUGGCGCACAUUGCAUGACACAGUCCCGUGUCAUGUUACGGUAGUCAAUAGACAUCUGAAAGUCUCGCCACAACGUCCUUCUUGUUCUUCUGAUGCAGAAGAUACAAAGCAUAUGUUAUUUCUUUGCAAUAAAGCAAAGGAUAUUUGGAGAAGGCUGGGCAUGGACGAAAUUAUUAAUAGAGCCUGUGAAGUAGAUUGUGCUGGCGAAGCGGUUAUGCAAUUCUUACUUCUUUUACAACAUCAGGAUUUGUCUAUUAUGAGUCUUCAAAAUGCUUAA